CACACCUGAGAGAACUGAAUCUGUCAUAUAAUAAACUAGGAGACUCAGGAGUGAAGCAGCUUUCUGAUCUAUUGGCGAAUCCUCACUGUAAACUGGAGACACUGUGGUUGAUGGAUUGUGGAGUCACAGAUGAAGGUUGUGUUGCUCUGGCUUCAGCUCUGAGAUCAAACCCCUCACACCUGAGAGAUCUGAAUCUGUCUAAUAAUAAACUAGGAGACUCAGGAGUGAAGCAGCUGGAGGAUCUGAGGGAUGAUCCACAUUAUAAACUGGAGACACUAGAUUAUAGAUGACAGUCUGAUGUUCUGCUGAUCAUCUGAUGGUGAAUAAGGAUCCACUACAGAGACUCACAGUCAACAGAAUCAACAGAGACUGAAGAUACAGUGACUUCACUGUUAGAAAUUAAGACUUCAUUUAGAUUUCAACCAUCCUCUGACAGACCUGAUGAGGCGGCAGUGAAACACCUUUUAUUUCACAGCAAAUUACACUUUCUCAUUCAUAGAUUAACCUUUUUAUUUGUAUAAAUGCACAGUAUAAACUCAAAAAUGUAAAUAUAGAUCCUGAAUGUGUUUGUGUUGAACCAGCAGAGGGAGACAAACAGUAAUGAAAGAUUCAUUUUCAUAAUUAUGAAGAAAAAACAGUUCAAGCUCAUUUUUGGGAAACAAUGGAAGCUUGAGUGUAUAAUCAUGUUUUUAAUAGCUGCAUUACACUUGUAUUAAUGUAUUAAAGGGGUCAUAUGAUGUGUUUUCAUGUUUUCUUUUUCUUUAGUGUGUUAUGAAGCUGUUCAUCUCCCCAUUCUGGCCGCUUGCACUGGUCCCAGUUGUUUUUAGGAUUCAGUUCAGAGUUGUAUUUUCUGUUUUUAAGGCACUUAAUGGGCCGGCCCCGACCUGUAUCACGGCCCUUGUACAGUUGAAAGGUCACUGAGAUCCUCAAACAUAGGGCUCCUGCUUGUGCCGCUCACGGCUCAGAGGGGUGAUGGAGUAAAUGUGUAAAUGUGCUUUAUAAUAUAUGCUCAAUAAAAACGUUACAAAAUAAA